rnacentral:lncRNA from 1 species
AGGGUUCAAAGCUCUAUUCUCCCCUGCCGUCCCAUCACACAUCUGUGUGUGCAUCAGAGAUCUUCCCUUGGCUCACCAGCUCACCCCGUGCAUCCCGCAGCUGAACCUGCAGGAAUGAAGGAACUGUACACCAUUCCGCAUCUCUUUUAGCAAAGUAUCCAGCACAGUAACAAAAACCACAAGCUGCAGAACUUUGGUACAGUAUCUGGGAACCAAAGACUGUGGAUAGUUGUGGAUCGGAAAUGGGACAGGUAGCUGUGACAGUUGUAUGUACUGUAGAGGUAAAGAAGAAAACCCCUUUGAGACCAGAGGCUGCUGAGGAAAUGUUUUCCAAGAAAUAUUUCUCAUCACUUCAGUGUCCAUGAGCUAUUAAAUCACUAUAAGGGUACUGCUAAUUUGACUUCCUCUACCUAAACAAACUGUGCUAUUCUUUGAAGAUCUCAACUAAGGCUUGAAUAGGUUCAGCUCGCAAUAAUUCAGCUGAAAGCAUUAGGUUAAUUAAUCUUAUUUAAAAAUCAG